rnacentral:rRNA from 1 species
GAUGAACGCUGGCGGCGUGCCUAACACAUGCAAGUCGAGCGAUUUACUUCGGUAAAGAGCGGCGGACGGGUGAGUAACGCGUGGGUAACCUGCCCUGUACACACGGAUAACAUACCGAAAGGUAAGCUAAUACGAGAUAAUAUGCUUUUAUCGCAUGGUAGAAGUAUCAAAGCUUUUGCGGUACAGGAUGGACCCGCGUCUGAUUAGCUAGUUGGUGAGGUAACGGCUCACCAAGGCGACGAUCAGUAGCCGACCUGAGAGGGUGAUCGGCCACAUUGGAACUGAGACACGGUCCAAACUCCUACGGGAGGCAGCAGUGGGGAAUAUUGCACAAUGGGCGAAAGCCUGAUGCAGCAACGCCGCGUGAGCGAUGAAGGCCUUCGGGUCGUAAAGCUCUGUCCUCAAGGAAGAUAAUGACGGUACUUGAGGAGGAAGCCCCGGCUAACUACGUG